rnacentral:rRNA from 1 species
UUUAGGGGUUUCGAUACCCUUGGUGCCGAAGUUAACACAUUAAGCACUCCGCCUGGGGAGUACGGUCGCAAGACUGAAACUCAAAGGAAUUGACGGGGACCCGCACAAGCAGUGGAGUAUGUGGUUUAAUUCGAAGCAACGCGAAGAACCUUACCAGGUCUUGACAUCCCUCUGAUCGAUGCAGAGAAGUAUCUUUCCUUCGGGACAGAGGAGACAGGUGGUGCAUGGUUGUCGUCAGCUCGUGUCGUGAGAUGUUGGGUUAAGUCCCGCAACGAGCGCAACCCUUAUAUUUAGUUGCCAGCACUUCGGGUGGGCACUCUAGAUAGACUGCCGGUGACAAACCGGAGGAAGGUGGGGAUGACGUCAAAUCAUCAUGCCCCUUAUGACCUGGGCUACACACGUACUACAAUGGCCGGUACAACGGGCUGCGAAAUCGCGAGAUGGAGCCAAUCCCAACAAAGCCGGUCUCAGUUCGGAUUGCAGGCUGCAA